UAGAUUCUAAUUUUUUUUUUUUAUUAUUUCAUUGGUUACUCAGCUAUUGAGUAGGUUCCACCUCUGAUCUUCAUUGAAUUUGUAAUCAAGAGUUUUUAUUUGAUUUUUAUUUGAUGUUGAGUUUUGAAUUAAUAAUUUUACAAAUAGAUGAUUUAUUUCUUGGAAUAAUUCAACUCUAAGAGUGAAUAUUUCUCAACUCAAAUUCUUAUGAAGCAUUCUUCUCUGAUAAAUUCUAUAUAUAUGUUAAUUCAACUUAAAAAUUAUUUUAGCUAGCUCAAAUUUUUUUUUUUUUUUUUAGAAUGUAGCUUUCACACACUUGAGUGGAGGGAGUAUGUAACAAUUUUGGACGUGAUUAUUUUUAUCUUGUUUUUCUGUUAUUUCGGUUCUAAAUUCGAUUGUAUUAUCAGCUUGUUUUUCUCAGUGAGACAAAGAUGCACUUAUGGGAUCGAGCUGUACCCUUCGAAUAAUCUACUUUCUUGUUCUCUCCAGUUCUUUUUUGCUAUUUUCUUUCUCCCUUUUUCUGUCCUUGUUGGUAGCUUUGAGUUUGCAUUGCUCUUUCUCUCUAGUUUCUUUGUCUAAUUUUGAUAAUUCCGUUUUGCUUACGUCACUGUCUUGUUUGCUACCCCGUCUUCAACGCUCGAUGAUCCAUUCUGUCUCUGAAUUUCGUGAGUGGAGGUUGUAAAUUUAACUUUUUCCUUUGAUUCCAUUUUUAUUUAGCUUAUGCUAAAUUUUUCUAUUUAUUACAAUAUGUAGUUGAUCAGAGACAGAUUUCAUACAUCACAAGUUGUGAUAUUAUUAUUAUUUUCUUUAUUUUUUUUUAUUUCCUUUUUAAAUAUGUAAAUUUUCUUGUUUGUUAUAAAAAAAAAAAAAAAAAGAAAAGUAAUCAUGUCCGAAAAUUUAAUUGAGUAUUCAUUCUAGCUGGCCUAAGUUAUGGCAAUUUAUUUAUAUUUGUUGAAAACCUCAUUCAUCACAUAUGUAUCCAUAGUAAUUUCUACAAUUUCCGCUGUACAGCGGACGUUGACACGUAGACACGUAGACACGUAGACACGUAAACUCGUAGACUCAUAGACUCAUAGACUCGUAGACUCGUAGACUCGUAGUAUCACAGGAUGUCUUAGUUAUGGCCAUGGAAGCUGAAUCCUUGCUGACCAACUCAUCACAAGGAAACCAAUAUUUCCAGAAAAGAUCUAAAUUCGCCGUAAAAAGGAUACUUCAAGAACUUCUUGUGCAGUGAAAAAUUAAUAAGUGAAAAAUUUGAAUAAAGUGUACGGAGGCCUCCUCACUUCAAUACACCAGGUAUUUACGAAACAACCAAUAUUAAUUUAUGGAAAAUUCACAGGCAACUACUUCGCAAAAAUAAAUGGGACAGGAUAAUAAAUAAAUUUGUAAUUACUUGA